UACGUAGGGUGCAAGCGUUGUCCGGAAUUAUUGGGCGUAAAGAGCUCGUAGGCGGUCUGUCGCGUCUGCUGUGAAAACUCGGGGCUUAACCCCGGGCCUGCAGUGGGUACGGGCAGACUAGAGUGCGGUAGGGGAGACUGGAAUUCCUGGUGUAGCGGUGAAAUGCGCAGAUAUCAGGAGGAACACCGGUGGCGAAGGCGGGUCUCUGGGCCGUAACUGACGCUGAGGAGCGAAAGCUAGGGUAGCAAACGGG
rnacentral:rRNA from 1 species